UUACUCUGGCUUCUCUUCAUCGUAUGAUUCUUUCGCCUUUUACUAAAGAAUUCCGUGGAGGGGAGCAUUUCAAUGAGUCUUAAGAUAUUUUUCUGCACCUGACGUCGGUCAGGUU
ensembl:snRNA U5 U5 spliceosomal RNA